rnacentral:rRNA from 1 species
UACGUAGGGGGGCAAGCGUUGUCCGGAUUUAUUAGGCGUAAAGAGCGUGUAGGCGGCCAAGCAGGUCAGCUGUGAAAACUCGAGGCUCAACCUCGAGACGUCGGUUGAAACCGCUUGGCUAGAGUCCGGAAGAGGAGAGUGGAAUUCCCGGUGUAGCGGUGAAAUGCGCAGAUAUCGGGAAGAACACCCGGUGGCGAAGGCGG